rnacentral:rRNA from 1 species
GGCCUACCAUGGUGGUAACGGGUAACGGGGUGUUAGGGCACGACACCGGAGAGGGAGCCUGAGAAACGGCUACCACAUCCAAGGAUGGCAGCAGGCGCGCAAAUUACCCAAUCCCGACACGGGGAGGUAGUGACAAUAAAUAACAAUACGGGGUUCUUUAGGAUCUCGUAAUUGGAAUGAGUACAAUUUAAAUCUCUUAACGAGGAACAAUUGGAGGGCAAGUCUGGUGCCAGCAGCCGCGGUAAUUCCAGCUCCAAUAGCGUAUAUUAAAGUUGUUGCAGUUAAAAAGCUCGUAGUUGAAUUUCGGGGUUAGUAGGUUGGUCAUGCCUCUGGUAUGUACUGGUCUCACUGAUUCCUCCUUCCUGAUGAGCCGUAAUGCCAUUAAUUUGGUGUUGCGGGGAAUUUGGACUGUUACUUUGAAAAAAUUAGAGUGUUUAAAGCAGGCUAACGCUUGAAUACAUUAGCAUGGAAUAAUGAAAUAGGACGUUCGAUCCUAUUUUGUUGGUUUCUAGGAUUGACGUAAUGAUUAAUAGGGAUAGUUGGGGGCAUUAGUAUUCAAUUGUCAGAGGUGAAAUUCUUGGAUUUAUUGAAGACUAACUACUGCGAAUGCAUUUGCCAAGGAUGUUUUCAUUAAUCAAGAACGAAAGUUAGGGGAUCGAAGACGAUCAGAUACCGUCGUAGUCUUAACCAUAAACUAUGCCGACUAGGGAUCGGAUGAUGUUAAUUUUUUAAUGGCUCAUUCGGCGCCUUACG